UGCGGGGGCCGCUCUCACCGUCUCCUCUGCUCCUCCCCAGGCAAUAUCAUGUACAGGAAAUACCCCAACGGCCCCAAGGAGUAUCACCAGAUGCCCGUGCCAUCAUGGAGGCCCAGGAGUUCUCUCCUACCCUCAGAGUCCACAAUCAAAACCGACCGUGACAGGAACUGGAUGUUUGACAAGGAAUACCUACAGGGCGUCAAGAAGCCGAUCUUCGUGAGAAGUUUCUAACAGCGUUCUUCUCUCUCCGUCCUUUAAUUCUUUAAUCCGAAUAUGGUGAAGAAGAUACACUCGUGCAUGAAAUAACUCCCAAACACACAAAAAAUACAUAAACAGCAGCACCUUAGUGGUAGUCUUGACCCCACCAACGUCUUUGUACUUCCAGACUUAACAUAUUAAAAUUAUUUCUGUA